rnacentral:rRNA from 1 species
CGCAGCAACGCGCGUGAGCGAAGAAGGCCUUCGGGUUGUAAAGCUCUGGUCAGGGGGAAAGAAGGCACCUGGGUUAAUAGCCCAAGGGCUGACGGUACCUCCAAAGGAAGCCACGGCUAACUACGUGCCAGCAGCCGCGGUAAUACGUAGGUGGCGAGCGUUGUCCGGAAUCAUUGGGCGUAAAGAGCGCGUAGGUGGCUUGUUAGGUCUGAUGUGAAAACCUGGGGCUCAACCCCAGGCCUGCAUCAGAAACCGGCUUGCUAGAGUCUGGGAGAGGAGAGUGGAAUUCCUGGUGUAGCGGUGAAAUGCGUAGAUAUCAGGAGGAACACCGGUAGCGAAGGCGGCUCUCUGGAACAGUACUGACGCUGAGGCGCGAAAGCUAGGGGAGCGAACAGGAUUAGAUACCCUGGUAGUCCUAGCCGUAAACGAUGGACACUAGGUGUCGGGGGUGUCGACUCCCCCGGUGCCGAAGCUAACGCAUUAAGUGUCCCGCCUGGGGAGUACGGCCGCAAGGCUA